rnacentral:rRNA from 1 species
UACGAAGGGGGCUAGCGUUGCUCGGAAUCACUGGGCGUAAAGGGUGCGUAGGCGGGUUUUUAAGUCAGGGGUGAAAUCCUGGAGCUCAACUCCAGAACUGCCUUUGAUACUGAAGAUCUUGAGUCCGGGAGAGGUGAGUGGAACUGCGAGUGUAGAGGUGAAAUUCGUAGAUAUUCGGAAGAACACCAGUGGCGAAGGCGACUUACUGGACACAUAUUGACGCUGAGGUGCGAAAGCGUGGGGAGCAAACAGG